rnacentral:rRNA from 1 species
CCUACGGGCGGCUGCAGUGGGGAAUAUUGGACAAUGGGGGCAACCCUGAUCCAGCCAUGCCGCGUGUGUGAAGAAGGCCCUCGGGUUGUAAAGCACUUUCAGUGAGGAAGAACGCCUUGUGGUUAAUACCCAUCAGGAAAGACAUCACUCACAGAAGAAGCACCGGCUAACUCCGUGCCAGCAGCCGCGGUAAUACGGAGGGUGCGAGCGUUAAUCGGAAUUACUGGGCGUAAAGCGCGCGUAGGUGGCUUGAUAAGCCGGUUGUGAAAGCCCCGGGCUCAACCUGGGAACGGCAUCCGGAACUGUCAAGCUAGAGUGCAGGAGAGGAAGGUAGAAUUCCCGGUGUAGCGGUGAAAUGCGUAGAGAUCGGGAGGAAUACCAGUGGCGAAGGCGGCCUUCUGGACUGACACUGACACUGAGGUGCGAAAGCGUGGGUAGCAAACAGGAUUAGAUACCCUAGUAGUC